CAGCAGCAGUUCUUGGUGAAAGUGGCUCAGGUGAACUUUGCUCCUGGUCAGAUUCGGACAUGCACACACCAAGGAAGUCAAUUCAAUGCUUUCAAUGGAGAUAACAACAAAAUACAAAAACUGAAUACUAAAAGAAAAACCAACGAAAAGAAACAAAUGAAACAAACAAAAACAAAACAAUCAAAGUAAUCUAACUAUAGCACCAUCAUUACCGGUUCCCCGGCAACGGCGCCAAAAACUUGUUGAGCCUAUUCUUAACAACUAAAAUGAGUUAUUAAAAACAGCAACUUUAAUUCUCGCAAGUGCACGAACCGUUUAUAGUAUAGCUUAUGUAAAUAUGAGGUCG
rnacentral:lncRNA from 1 species